UACCUGUUACCCGGAAGUAAAGGACGUGGACGUCAUCGACCGCUGCAUUUGAAUGCAUCAUUUUUGUUUGUUCGAAAUCCUACAAAAACUAUUAAGGCGACGGAUAUCAUCCAUGGGCAUUUCCUCGCUGGAGUUGAUUGCAUGGACUUCGGCCUAGAAACAAGGAUGGUGCUCAUAGGAUUCUAACAUGUGGAUUUAAAGCGCCUUUAUCGGUCUUCCCAGAGGUUAGCUGCAUGAUGCUGCAAAUGGACACCACAACUCCCUGGAGACCAAUUCUUGUGAAAUGUUGUUGGCCUCUCUGCAGUGCUGACGCUUUUUGGCCGCCAGUUUGUGCGUCGAGCGACUUCCAAAACAAACCCCAACAAGAAGCAGAAGAACAAGGUGAGCUUUGCCGAGCUG